UAUUGUAAAUUUGUGUAUCUCCAAGGCUGAAUGGGAGGGAAUGAAGAAAUUCUAGAACAAAACUAAGUCUGCUCUGAGAUCUCCUUGAUAGAGCAUGGAUUUGAUGUUUCUCUCUCCCUGUGGAUCAUGGUCUAUCAUGGUGGAGAACAGAAGAAAAUAAGAAUAAAACUAUCAAUUACAUACAAGAGCAGCAUUUUUCCUUUUAAUUAUAGGAUGGAAAUCUCUUAGUUAUUUGCAGCUAGAAAAGGAAACAGGAAGACAAAAAGCUAACUCAUAACAACUCCUAAGAAAAAUCACUUGUACUGCAUACUCCUGUACACCACUGAAAGGACCAUUAUUAUGUUUCCAGCAGGGGGCUGAAUAGCUGCAGUUUUGGAACUGAUCAGAGGACAACAUGAUAGACAACUUCCUCUGUUCUUCCUGGCCAGUUAGAUUGCUUUGGGAAUGAAUUAGUGCAGAGCUAUUUUGGGUGAGCAAAAAGAGGCAGAGUGAGAGAGGCAGCCGUUUGGCCCAGAGGAGAGAGAAGGAGGGUGUGCAUACCAAUCCUGCGAAAGGGAAGGAAAGGCAAGAACCCAGUUAGAGGUAUAUAAGCAGCCUGUUAAGUGAAAAACGAUGUGGGAUAAGUAUGGAAGAUCCUGCCGGAAAGCUCAGCCUAGGCACAACAGCAGUUGCUAGUUCAAAAAGAGAGACAACAAAUUGUGGGGAGAGUCUGAAGAUCAAAUCGGAGACAUGCACCACAGACAACGCUUAUAGUCUUUGGGAUCCUAGUUUGGGGAAGAACUUGUAACCAAAGGGUGUGGUUCUGAUGGGAAAAUGAAGAGAUACUUGGAUUAAAUCUGGUAUGGGCCAGAAGGAUUCACUAUGGAGUUGCAGAAGAGCCCUCUCCAAAAUCUUGGAAAUAAUAUCAUGCCCAGAAUUAUUGCCAAAAUCCUGGGAAGUAAAAACACAGAUUUAAAGGAGAGGCCGAAAGGUCUGACAUGCCAGACGGAAUACUCUGAGGAACCUGACAUUGAUGGGAAGCAGCAGUUCCUCCAGAGACCACGAGUUCUGUGCUCUCCGAGGUCCGCUCUCCACCCCAGGGCUGAGGCAUCGGUGGUCAGACAUAGCAAGGGGUGGGGAUUGGAAAAGGCGACUCCUGCACACACCAAGUGCGGGUCGAGCCACCACUGAAGAGACUCGAGAACCCGCAGUGGAAGGGUUCUGAGCGACCCGCCUCAAGAGUUCUGCUGUCGUGAAGGGGAGGCCCUGAGGAUGUUCCUGCCACUGCCUCAUCUGAGAGACUAUGCUAGAGGAUCGCUUGUGAAGACGGAAGACGAAACGCUCCAACGACCAUCACUGGCGGUAAGAAGGAACUGGAGGCAGGGCCCUAUAUGCGCACCAUGAAGGCACGACUCCAGGGGGCUCCACAGCCGACCCGACGGGUGUUGCUAGGGGAAAAACCUUCCGGCGACUGUGCAUGCGGUGUGCGCACACACACCUAAUUGGAAUCGAUAUGAGCAAGCACUUGAAGAAGAACUGUGCUCCAGGACUAGAGGGAGGGAUUAUAAACCCUUCUAUGAAGUGCUGUGGAGCCAAUAUGCUUUGGUGAAACACAAGAGUGUAGCAAAUCAACCCAGAGCCUCCUUCUAAAGACAACCCGAGGGGGCUGAAUGCACACAGCAGGAGGCAUGUACUCCUUAAAAGGACCAGGGGGGAGGGAUAGCUCAGUGGUUUGCGCAUGGGCCUGCUAAACCCAGGGUUAUGAGUUCAAUCCAUGAGGGGGGCCCAUUUAGGGAUCUGUAGCAAAAAAAAAAAUCUGUCUGGGGAUUGGUCCUGGCUUGAGCAGGGGGUUGGACUAGAUGACCUCCUGAGGUCCCUUCCAACCCUGAUAUUCUAUGAUUGUUUUUUCUUUCUCCUGCUGGCAUACCCACUUCUGAGACUGAAGAGGCCACUUAAUAAAAAUUAGAUAGUAACUGCCCUUCCAUUUAUGCUUUCAUAUUGCUCUUAUGUAUAUUCUAUAGGUGGGGCAGGUACUGAAGUUUGUUAAGGUUGUCAAACACUAAGACAGUUUUCAAAUCACUUAUAAUUUUGCCAGAUUUAAACUGUUCAGGCUCAAACCCAUAUGGUGUGUCUGCUUUAGGCUGAAAUGUUUUUGAGUUUCAGCAAAAAUAAACAAACCAAAAUAGAUCAGCAGUUUCUGGGAAUGAAAGUAGGGAAAAAUAUGCUGUUAUACAUCUCUUAAUGAAUAGGUUGCAAGUUGUUGCUUUAUUUAUUUUCGGAAGCUCCGGCUUCUCCAAGAUUUGGAACAAAGACUUAAAAUUCAGAUGGGGGCUUGCCCUGGUUUCAGGGAUGUGUCUUUGGCACUCCCUGCAAAGAUCUGGCCAAGUUAUAAACCUUCUAAAAAUCUGUUUGAACAGGCUCAGUAGUGACUUAUUGAAGUUUUACUGUUAAAAUUUUCAGAACAGUUUGUCUGCACUGAGCAUACGCCAACCCAGGCCACUGACUAGGACUUUAUUUGAAAUUGCUGCUUCUGGCUGCUAUAAGAUGAAUACAGGAAUUGACAACUGCUGGACUGUUUCUCCUCCAUAUUCCUUAUGGACAUUCAGACAGUGUGGAGGAGGAAGCUACCUCAGCUGAAGGAGAGAGAGGACAAGAGUUAGUAUUGGGUUGAUGGUGGGGUAGAUGGGACAAGGAGCCAGGGGCACAAAAAAUGGAACUGCCUGGAUAAAGAGAGUGGGAGGUGGGGGUGAAACAGGGGCUGAACAACUCAGAUUGGGGAAGCAGCUGAAGGCCAUGGAACAGGGUUGCCUGAGCACUAGUAGGAGAAGAGACGGUGCAGGAAGAAGAGGAGGAGUUGUGGGGAAUGGGGACUGGCUAGACAAGGAGAGGAGAGGAUCGGUGUGUAAAAGAGGAGGGCUGGGGAGAAGCAUUGAGGGGAGACUAGAACUGGCUGGGAAAUGGGUCUGGAAGAGGGGCAAGAAGCCCCUGGAGACGGGAAAGACUGGGAUGAGGAAGGGACAAGACUGGGACAGGUUCAAAGGGACUGGGCAAAAGGGGUCACAGUUGCUGGCAACAGGGGAGAAAAGAGCGUUCUUAUUAGCGCAUGCUCCUCUCCAGAGCCUGGAACUGAACCGAGUAUUCCACUGUCUCACAUUCCUCUGCUGUCAGCAAAUAUCCAUGAAACUCAAUGGAGACUGUGUCAUCCUUCUCUAGUGAUGGCUCAGGUAGAGAAUGAUGGCCUACCACUGCUGUUAGUUAUUCCGUUAGCUCAAGAGUCAAUAGUUGGUAUGAUGGAUCUAAAGCUUCCAGCCCUGUUGAUGAACCACAUGGAUGUCAAUAUAACUCUAUGUGAUGGAAUUAGUUUUUUCAGGUUUUUUUUUUUUAAAUCUAGCAAAUUACACACACACAAAAAAAAUCCACCCUGAGCUGCUUUGUAAGGCUCACAUUCAUUCAUAACUCUCCCUCACCUACAAAUCUCUCAUACUUGCCUUUAAGUUUACAAAUAAGCCAACUAAUAAUGAUUAAUAGAGGAGAUGUAUAUAUUUAAAAAUAAAUCAAAUGAAAGUCA